rnacentral:rRNA from 1 species
ACGAACGCUGGCGGCGUGCUUAACACAUGCAAGUCGAACGGAAAGGCCCUGCUUGCAGGGUACUCGAGUGGCGAACGGGUGAGUAACACGUGGGUGAUCUGCCCUGCACCUCGGGAUAAGCCUGGGAAACUGGGUCUAAUACCGGAUAGGAGCCAUUUUUAGUGUGAUGGUUGGAAAGUUUUUUCGGUGUAGGAUGAGCUCGCGGCCUAUCAGCUUGUUGGUGGGGUAAUGGCCUACCAAGGCGGCGACGGGUAGCCGGCCUGAGAGGGUGGACGGCCACAUUGGGACUGAGAUACGGCCCAGACUCCUACGGGAGGCAGCAGUGGGGAAUAUUGCACAAUGGGCGCAAGCCUGAUGCAGCGACGCCGCGUGGGGGAUGACGGCCUUCGGGUUGUAAACUCCUUUCGCUAGGGACGAAGCUUUUUGUGACGGUACCUAGAUAAGAAGCACCGGCUAACUACGUG